GUAACAGGAAGAAGCUUGCUUCUUUGCUGACGAGUGGCGGACGGGUGAGUAAUGUCUGGGAAACUGCCUGAUGGAGGGGGAUAACUACUGGAAACGGUAGCUAAUACCGCAUAACGUCGCAAGACCAAAGAGGGGGACCUUCGGGCCUCUUGCCAUCGGAUGUGCCCAGAUGGGAUUAGCUAGUAGGUGGGGUAACGGCUCACCUAGGCGACGAUCCCUAGCUGGUCUGAGAGGAUGACCAGCCACACUGGAACUGAGACACGGUCCAGACUCCUACGGGAGGCAGCAGUGGGGAAUAUUGCACAAUGGGCGCAAGCCUGAUGCAGCCAUGCCGCGUGUAUGAAGAAGGCCUUCGGGUUGUAAAGUACUUUCAGCGGGGAGGAAGGGAGUAAAGUUAAUACCUUUGCUCAUUGACGUUACCCGCAGAAGAAGCACCGGCUAACUCCGUGCCAGCAGCCGCGGUAAUACGGAGGGUGCAAGCGUUAAUCGGAAUUACUGGGCGUAAAGCGCACGCAGGCGGUUUGUUAAGUCAGAUGUGAAAUCCCCGGGCUCAACCUGGGAACUGCAUCUGAUACUGGCAAGCUUGAGUCUCGUAGAGGGGGGUAGAAUUCCAGGUGUAGCGGUGAAAUGCGUAGAGAUCUGGAGGAAUACCGGUGGCGAAGG
rnacentral:rRNA from 1 species